UUGAUUCAUUUUUCUUGUGAGACUCAGAAUAUGCCACUAUGGUUAAACAAGAGUUUGGGUCCUCCGGCGGGCGCCUGGUUCCGGGACGCCGGGGCGGUCCCGCCGAAGCAACGUUGGGUAUGUUCACAGGGGUUUGGGAGUUGAUAACUCGGUAAUGAUCCCUCCGCUGGUUCACCAACGGAGA
rnacentral:misc_RNA from 1 species